rnacentral:lncRNA from 10 species
CAGACGCCUGUAGUCCCAGCUACUCGGGAGGCUGUGGCAGGAGAAUGGCGUGAACCCGGGGAGGCAGAGCUUGCGGUGAGCAGAGAUCACACAACUGCACUCCAGCCUGGGCAACAGAGCGAGACUCCAUCUCAAAAAAAAAAAAAAAAGACUUGGCUCCUCACUUGUAUUGUGGGAAUCCCAGCCUAAAUUGGACAUGUGGAUGUUGAGCAAUAGAGGACAGACAAACAAAGGAAUCUCCAGACCCUGCAGGACCCAAGGCAGCAGCCCACGAGUGGAUCCUAAAGGAUUUUCAUCAGCUGCAAGUCUGGAUGGGGAAACUGAGGCCUGAAAAAAGGACUGUCUGGUGGCAGAGCUGGGAACUUAGAACUUGACAUCUCAUGCACCACAGAGGGGCUGGCACCGUUUACAUCUACUAAAUCGUGGGCCAAAUAGCUUUCUCCCAAGUAGUUUUCUCACCUGCUAGAGAAGCUUUUUAAAAAUUCAAGAAUGCUGGAUGUUGUUAUUCCCUCUCUACAGACUGGAGAACGAUGACACUAGAAGUGUGUGGGAAUUACCUGAGGUCAAAAGCCAAGGGUGGAGCCUGCGGUCCCUCGGCCUCCUGAUUCCACAUUCAUCCUCUUCCCGUCUCAGGAUUUUACACCCAGAGAUGCCAAUGUCUGGUGACUCCACAGGUUGAACUCAGCCUGGCCUGAAACCAGCCCUCAACCCUUCGAAAGCCACAGAGCGCCCCCGCCCCCACCCCUGGCAGGGACCUUCCCAGCUCUGUUCCUCCCUUCUUUUUAUUAUUAUUAUUAUUAUUGAGACGGAGUUUCACUCUUGUUGCCCAGGCUGGAGUGCAAUGGCACGAUCUUGGCUCACCGCAACCUCUGCCUCCAGGGUUCAAGCGAUUCUCCUGCUGCCUCAGCCUCCUGAGUAGCUGGGAUUACAGGUGUGCACCACGCCUGGCCAAUUUUGUAUUUUCAGUAGAUACACCCACCCCCAGGCUCUGGGGACCAAGCCCUGCUCAAAUUGGGGGUGGUGCUGCCAGGGGCAGGGGCAGAGAGGGUGGGAGCCUCCCUUCCAAGUAUUUUAGGGUUUCUCCAUGUUGGUCAGGCUGGUCUCGAACUCCUGACCUCAGGUGAUCCACCCACCUCAGCCUCCCAAAGUGCUGGGAUUACAGGCAUGAGCCACCACGCCUGGCCCCUUGUUUUCCAACCUCCUGCCUAUUCUUCUCCUCCGUGAAGCCCUCCUGAUUUGAAACCCUUGGCUCCCCUUUUCUUGGUUUCUUCCUGCACUCAACAAGCCCCUCCAGCAAUUCCUAAAUCAGGUCCUGGUGUGACUCUCUUCUCUCUCAUCGGACUAGGGGAACAGGCCUGCGUCUCCUCCCUCUGAACUGCCAACUACUAACCCCCACCAUACCCAUUGUCUCCACACCACCUCCCACGCCCCCUGAAGACUCAGACCCAAAACAGAUCUGUAAAGCAUGUGCGUGUGACCAUGGGAACCCGGGAGUCCUGUCUCCUCUUCAUCCACAGAAAUUUCCACAGAAGCCCCACGGAUUCCCAUUUCAGAGUCUUCGACAUGUUGCCAUAAAUUGUCUUCUGAGGAGGAAGCCAGAUCUCAAGUUCUAGCAGUGAAGCUUCAGAGAAGAGGCUGGGAUAGC